GUGUACAUUCCAAGACCAAAUGUCUUUACAGCUAACAUGGACGUCUUCACCGAUCUGAGGACGUUAAGCAAGCUUACAGGUUACAUACCGACUUCCCAAGUGACCAGGCUGACAACAAAGGUGCCCAAUAUCAUCACUCAAGGUUUCCCUACGAGACCAUGCAGGAUUGGAGGAAGUCAAAGAAAGCCCUCCUAACAAGGAUGUACCGCCACAAGGACGCCC